UUAUCGGUCCCAUAUGUCUGGAAUCUGAACAAUUAAUUAGCUUAAGCAUGGAACAUUACUAUCACACGGCAGUCAUCUUUUGUCUUAAACCACACAACACUACUUUAUGAUAUUGAGCAACCAUACAUGUGACAAGCCCUUUCAUUGCUUGCAAACUUUGUAGAGGAAACCAAAAAAACACUUCAGCCUCGAACCAAUAGCUUGAGCGAAGGUGCUCGCAGUUAUUCUUCCCAGUAACUCAGAUGGACAAAAACUACAGAACACACGUUACACUUACAUGACAGAAAAUCUGAAAUAACACUAAAUAAUCAAGCAAUUUACCCAAAUAAUUCUUUGAUUCCAUUUUUGCAUAGACCAAGUCAAUAAGAUUGAAUUAAAAUGAAAAAGAAGAAAUGCAAUUUACCUCUUAAACUUGCUUUCUAAAGAUUAAGACGAGAAUUGAUUGAUCACUGCAAUCAUGAACACGUUCAAAGCUGCUGGUUCAGAAAAAACCACAGAAAUAUAUAGCAAAAAUAAAUGGUUGCAGCUUUAAAAGUUUAGCAUGAUCAUCGCAGAAAAACACAUUUUCAGUUUAAAACUUGAUCAGCUCUAACAUCACAAUCCAGAGACUUUUUCUUACUCUUCGGUACCAAAAAAGAAGAGAAGGUAAAGAAGGUAAGCGAAUGGCUUCCUUUGAAAUUGCUGUUAGGUUCCCAAGAGAUGCAGGGAAAUUCCCUGUCAGGUUGUUUACACGGAGAGAUAAAAGGACAAGCAGAGGAAGCGAACCCAGUUUAGAAGGAACCUCGUGUUCAAGAUUGUUGGAGGAUAGAUCAUUGGUCAAAAGGGAAAAACAGUUAGAUAUAUAUGCCAAGUGGAAUCCCACCUCCAAGAAUGAUCUUGCUCAGGUUCAAGUGUUGAAGCCUGAACAGCUUCCCUACCUCAAGAGGGAUACUACCAUUGGAAGAGUUGUACGUGAGACUAAGAGAUGUGAGGAAAUAGAGGUUACCGAUAGAGGGCGAGAUAACACCGGUUAGUUUCAUUCCUUCGAGAUCCAACCAGUGACUCUCUUGUG
rnacentral:lncRNA from 1 species